rnacentral:rRNA from 1 species
GACGAACGCUGGCGGCGUGCUUAACACAUGCAAGUCGAACGGAAAGGCCCUGCUUUUGUGGGGUGCUCGAGUGGCGAACGGGUGAGUAACACGUGAGUAACCUGCCCUUGACUUUGGGAUAACUUCAGGAAACUGGGGCUAAUACCGGAUAGGAGCUCCUGCUGCAUGGUGGGGGUUGGAAAGUUUCGGCGGUUGGGGAUGGACUCGCGGCUUAUCAGCUUGUUGGUGGGGUAGUGGCUUACCAAGGCUUUGACGGGUAGCCGGCCUGAGAGGGUGACCGGCCACAUUGGGACUGAGAUACGGCCCAGACUCCUACGGGAGGCAGAAGUGGGGAAUAUUGCACAAUGGGCGGAAGCCUGAUGCAGCAACGCCGCGUGCGGGAUGACGGCCUUCGGGUUAUAAACCGCUUUCGCCUGUGACGAAGCGUGAGUGACGGUAAUGGGUAAAGAAGCACCGGCUAACUACGUG